GGGAAACCCAGUGUGUUUCGACACACUAUCAUUAACUGAAUCCAUAGGUUAAUGAGGCGAACCGGGGGAACUGAAACAUCUAAGUACCCCGAGGAAAAGAAAUCAACCGAGAUUCCCCCAGUAGCGGCGAGCGAACGGGGAGGAGCCCAGAGCCUGAAUCAGUGUGUGUGUUAGUGGAAGCGUCUGGAAAGGCGCGCGAUACAGGGUGACAGCCCCGUACACAAAAAUGCACAUACUGUGAGCUCGAUGAGUAGGGCGGGACACGUGGUAUCCUGUCUGAAUAUGGGGGGACCAUCCUCCAAGGCUAAAUACUCCUGACUGACCGAUAGUGAACCAGUACCGUGAGGGAAAGGCGAAAAGAACCCCGGCGAGGGGAGUGAAAAAGAACCUGAAACCGUGUACGUACAAGCAGUGGGAGCCUCUUAAUGGGGUGACUGCGUACCUUUUGUAUAAUGGGUCAGCGACUUAUAUUCUGUAGCAAGGUUAACCGAAUAGGGGAGCCGAAGGGAAACCGAGUCUUAACUGGGCGUUAAGUUGCAGGGUAUAGACCCGAAACCCGGUGAUCUAGCCAUGGGCAGGUUGAAGGUUGGGUAACACUAACUGGAGGACCGAACCGACUAAUGUUGAAAAAUUAGCGGAUGACUUGUGGCUGGGGGUGAAAGGCCAAUCAAACCGGGAGAUAGCUGGUUCUCCCCGAAAGCUAUUUAGGUAGCGCCUCGUGAAUUCAUCUCCGGGGGUAGAGCACUGUUUCGGCAAGGGGGUCAUCCCGACUUACCAACCCGAUGCAAACUGCGAAUACCGGAGAAUGUUAUCACGGGAGACACACGGCGGGUGCUAACGUCCGUCGUGAAGAGGGAAACAACCCAGACCGCCAGCUAAGGUCCCAAAGUCAUGGUUAAGUGGGAAACGAUGUGGGAAGGCCCAGACAGCCAGGAUGUUGGCUUAGAAGCAGCCAUCAUUUAAAGAAAGCGUAAUAGCUCACUGGUCGAGUCGGCCUGCGCGGAAGAUGUAACGGGGCUAAACCAUGCACCGAAGCUGCGGCAGCGACGUUUAUGCGUUGUUGGGUAGGGGAGCGUUCUGUAAGCCUGUGAAGGUGUGCUGUGAGGCAUGCUGGAGGUAUCAGAAGUGCGAAUGCUGACAUAAGUAACGAUAAAGCGGGUGAAAAGCCCGCUCGCCGGAAGACCAAGGGUUCCUGNACUAUGUGUUGUUGGGUAGGGGAGCGUUCUGUAAGCCUGUGAAGGUGUACUGUGAGGUAUGCUGGAGGUAUCAGAAGUGCGAAUGCUGACAUAAGUAACGAUAAAGCGGGUGAAAAGCCCGCUCGCCGGAAGACCAAGGGUUCCUGUCCAACGUUAAUCGGGGCAGGGUGAGUCGACCCCUAAGGCGAGGCCGAAAGGCGUAGUCGAUGGGAAACAGGUUAAUAUUCCUGUACUUGGUGUUACUGCGAAGGGGGGACGGAGAAGGCUAUGUUGGCCGGGCGACGGUUGUCCCGGUUUAAGCGUGUAGGCUGGUUUUCCAGGCAAAUCCGGAAAAUCAAGGCUGAGGCGUGAUGACGAGGCACUACGGUGCUGAAGCAACAAAUGCCCUGCUUCCAGGAAAAGCCUCUAAGCAUCAGGUAACAUCAAAUCGUACCCCAAACCGACACAGGUGGUCAGGUAGAGAAUACCAAGGCGCUUGAGAGAACUCGGGUGAAGGAACUAGGCAAAAUGGUGCCGUAACUUCGGGAGAAGGCACGCUGAUAUGUAGGUGAAGCGACUUGCUCGUGGAGCUGAAAUCAGUCGAAGAUACCAGCUGGCUGCAACUGUUUAUUAAAAACACAGCACUGUGCAAACACGAAAGUGGACGUAUACGGUGUGACGCCUGCCCGGUGCCGGAAGGUUAAUUGAUGGGGUUAGCGGUAACGCGAAGCUCUUGAUCGAAGCCCCGGUAAACGGCGGCCGUAACUAUAACGGUCCUAAGGUAGCGAAAUUCCUUGUCGGGUAAGUUCCGACCUGCACGAAUGGCGUAAUGAUGGCCAGGCUGUCUCCACCCGAGACUCAGUGAAAUUGAACUCGCUGUGAAGAUGCAGUGUACCCGCGGCAAGACGGAAAGACCCCGUGAACCUUUACUAUAGCUUGACACUGAACAUUGAGCCUUGAUGUGUAGGAUAGGUGGGAGGCUUUGAAGUGUGGACGCCAGUCUGCAUGGAGCCGGCCUUGAAAUACCACCCUUUAAUGUUUGAUGUUCUAACGUUGGCCCCUUACCGGGGUUGCGGACAGUGUCUGGUGGGUAGUUUGACUGGGGCGGUCUCCUCCUAAAGAGUAACGGAGGAGCACGAAGGUUGGCUAAUCCUGGUCGGACAUCAGGAGGUUAGUGCAAUGGCAUAAGCCAGCUUGACUGCGAGCGUGACGGCGCGAGCAGGUGCGAAAGCAGGUCAUAGUGAUCCGGUGGUUCUGAAUGGAAGGGCCAUCGCUCAACGGAUAAAAGGUACUCCGGGGAUAACAGGCUGAUACCGCCCAAGAGUUCAUAUCGACGGCGGUGUUUGGCACCUCGAUGUCGGCUCAUCACAUCCUGGGGCUGAAGUAGGUCCCAAGGGUAUGGCUGUUCGCCAUUUAAAGUGGUACGCGAGCUGGGUUUAGAACGUCGUGAGACAGUUCGGUCCCUAUCUGCCGUGGGCGCUGGAGAACUGAGGGGGGCUGCUCCUAGUACGAGAGGACCGGAGUGGACGCAUCACUGGUGUUCGGGUUGUCAUGCCAAUGGCACUGCCCGGUAGCUAAAUGCGGAAGAGAUAAGUGCUGAAAGCAUCUAAGCACGAAACUUGCCCCGAGAUGAGUUCUCCCUGACUC
rnacentral:rRNA from 1 species